rnacentral:rRNA from 1 species
AAUGAACGCUGGCGGCAUGCCUUACACAUGCGAGUCGAACGGCAGCAUGACCUAGCUUGCUAGGUUGAUGGCGAGUGGCGAACGGGUGAGUAAUGCAUCGGAACGUGCCUUUUAGUGGGGGAUAACGUAGCGAAAGUUACGCUAAUACCGCAUAUUCUCUGAGGAGGAAAGCAGGGGGCCUUCGGGCCUUGCGCUAGAAGAGCGGCCGAUGUCGGAUUAGCUAGUUGGUGAGGUAAAGGCUCACCAAGGCAACGAUCCGUAGCGGGUCUGAGAGGAUGAUCCGCCACACUGGGACUGAGACACGGCCCAGACUCCUACGGGAGGCAGCAGUGGGGAAUUUUGGACAAUGGGCGCAAGCCUGAUCCAGCCAUGCCGCGUGAGUGAAGAAGGCCUUCGGGUUGUAAAGCUCUUUCGGCUGGGAAGAAAUCGCACUCUCUAAUACAGGGUGUGGAUGACGGUACCAGCAUAAGAAGCACCGGCUAACUACGUG